rnacentral:lncRNA from 1 species
AUAAGGAGACCAAGGACCUCAAAUCCCUCCGAUGUGGGACAACUCAACACCCCCCUCACGCCCAGAUCUUUGGAGCGUGGACAACAUAAAUGGGGGCACAAUAUCGGUAACAAUAAUUGGGAUGGGCCUGGCUCUGAUAACAUGAUAAACGACUUGGUGCAUAUAAAUCAUAUGUACCGGGCUUGUUACAUAUGUAGUUUAACAUCGAACCCAGGUUUCUAGACCCGAAAGCAUCGAUUCCCAAAGACAUCAUUGAAAAUUUGCUGAAACAAAUGAAGGAAAACUGUUUUUUUUUUGCCGGGAAAUCACUGUAGAUGCCGGAAAAACUUCAAAGUUGUCGGAAUUGAAAAGUAAAGAACAUGAGUAGGCUCGGAAUUUGAGGGCGAUGAUACUGUCCUGAAGAAACUUUUUGAAUUUCUGGCCGGAAAGUCUCUGUAGCUGCCGGAAAAGUCGCCGGAUAAACUGAAAGUUGUCGGAAUCGAACGGAACAAGGAUGGGUAGGGUCGGAAAUUAAGGCCGACCNNNN